CCUACGGGAGGCAGCAGUGAGGAAUAUUGGUCAGUGGGCGAAAGCCUGAUCCAGCCAUGCCGCGUGUGUGAAGAAGGCCUUAGGGUUGUAAAGCACUUUCAGUGGGGAGAAAGGUCAUUCACCUAAUACGCGAGUAAAUUGAUGUUACCCACAGAAGAAGCACCGGCUAACUCCGUGCCAGCAGCCGCGGUAAU
rnacentral:rRNA from 1 species